GACGAACGCUGGCGGCGUGCUUAACACAUGCAAGUCGAACGGUAAGGCCCUUCGGGGUACACGAGUGGCGAACGGGUGAGUAACACGUGGGUGAUCUGCCCUGCACUUCGGGAUAAGCCUGGGAAACUGGGUCUAAUACCGGAUAGGACUCCGGACUGCAUGGUCUGGGGUGGAAAGCUUUUGCGGUGUGGGAUGGGCCCGCGGCCUAUCAGCUUGUUGGUGGGGUGAUGGCCUACCAAGGCGACGACGGGUAGCCGGCCUGAGGGGGUGACCGGCGACGCUGGGACUGAGAUACGGCCCAGACUCCUACGGGAGGCAGCAGUGGGGAAUAUUGCACAAUGGGCGCAAGCCUGAUGCAGCGACGCCGCGUGAGGGAUGACGGCCUUCGGGUUGUAAACCUCUUUCAGCAUCGACGAAGCGAAAGUGACGGUAGGUGCAGAAGAAGGACCGGCCAACUACGUGCCAGCAGCCGCCGCGG
rnacentral:rRNA from 1 species